rnacentral:rRNA from 1 species
GAUGAACGCUAGCUACAGGCUUAACUCAUGCAAGUCGAGGGGAAACGACAUCGAAAGCUUGCUUUUGAUGGGCGUCGACCGGCGCACGGGUGAGUAACGCGUAUCCAACCUGCCCACCACUUGGGGAUAACCUUGCGAAAGUAAGACUAAUACCCAAUGAUAUCUCUAGAAGACAUCUGAAGGAGAUUAAAGAUUUAUCGGUGAUGGAUGGGGAUGCGUCUGAUUAGCUUGUUGGCGGGGUAACGGCCCACCAAGGCGACGAUCAGUAGGGGUUCAGAGAGGAAGGUCCACCACAUUGGAACGGAGACACGGUCCAAACUCCUACGGGAGGCAGCAGUGAGGAAUAUUGGUCAAUGGGCGAGAGCCUGAACCAGCCAAGUAGCGUGCAGGAUGACGGCCCUAUGGGUUGUAGACUGCUUUUAUAAGGGAAUAAAGUGAGUCUCGUGAGACUUUUUGCAUGUACCUUAUGAAUAAGGACCGGCUAAUUCCGUGCCAGCCGCCGCCGUAA